rnacentral:rRNA from 1 species
AAAGGUAAGCUACUAAGAGCGAAUGGUGGAUGCCUUGACUGGUAAAGGCGAUGAAGGACGUACUAGACUGCGAUAAGCUACGGGGAGCUGUCAAGAAGCUUUGAUCCGU